UAAGAUUUAAAUAUUAACAUAUUUUUUUCAAAUAUUCUUUAAACUUCUUCCAGUCUUCUUCCACCGUCUCUUCUCUCUGGUCUCGGAGUCUCCCAGUCAGUUCAGCAAGUUCCAUAUAGUCCAUCAUCUUCAUCAGCCAUUCUUCGAUAGUUGGUAAAUCUUGUUUCUUCCAAUUCUUCACUAGUGAUAUUCUCACAGCUGUUGUGGCAGACAGAAAAAAAGUAACAUCCUUUUUGGGAAUUUCACCCCCCCACUAUACCAAGUAAAAAGGCUUCUGGUUUCCCAAUAAAUGUGUUUUUCAACACUUUUUUCAGUUCAUUAUAAAUCCUUUCCCAGAAGUCUUUUACCUUGGGGCAUGUACUGUGUCCAUUUCUGGGCACCACCAUUUAAGAAGGAUGUUGACAAGCUGGAAUGUGUGCAAAGGAGGCCAACCAACAUUAUCCAAGGCCUGGAAACUAAGCCUUGUGGGGAAUGGCUGGGAGGGGACUUGGGGAUCACAUACGCAGAAGUACCCAAUUGGAGGGGGAGAAAUCACGCACCAUGAGGCAUUACGACACUCUUGAGUCCCCUUCCAUAGUCUUCCGUUUGGGGUGUACUUGGGGCUGCCCUUUAGGGCUGACAUGCACAUCUUUGUGAAUGCUGAUCAGUCGGGCCUGGGUGUGCGUGUCAGGUUCACAAAGCUCACUUAGCAAGAAGGAAUCAUUUGCACCCAGUCACUGGCUGGGGAGACACAGAAUGUGGCCGUUUACAUGUCCAGUGGAGUUGGAGGGAAUUAACAUACAUUAAUUCAAACCCACCUGCCCGUACUUGCACAAUUUGGUUGCUGUUUGGCAGAUCUUCUAUUGCUAUAUUCGAAUAAACAUGACCCUUUCACCAUUACCCUGCCUCUCAGGUCGUCUUUCAGGGUGUGUUGGCAAAACUGUAAGUCCCUUACAAGAGUCCUUGCCAUCUCUUUGAUAUACAUAAAUGCAAACUGCCUCUUUAGACAAGGAUGCCUGAAUAGACAUCUGAUCAUCUCUCCUCAUAGAUAUUAAUGAUCCUUUCCUGUUUACAGCAGCACUAGUGUCAAAUAAGGUAGAUUAGGCCCAUUGACAAAAUGAAUGUUUCUGGCUUUCAGCAGGGGGAUUAAUAUUGAUUUUCCUUUUGAAGUCUUAAAAGCUUGUGAUAAACUCUCCAUGUCAAUUCAGAAAUAUAAGAGGAUCAUCUUCUCCAAAACACUCAUCAUUUUUGUUGAUUAAUGCAUUGAUACUUGGGAAGGGGAAGACUAGUACAUGGAAAUAUAUACUUUUACACACUGUUAACAAUCCAACACUUUUGGCAAACAAGGCAGGGCAAACAAAAAACAAAAAACACCACCACGUGUACUUGAAAAGUACUUAUGAUAUUCUUCUGCAUUAAAUUCUUUGAGAUGUCUUCUGGAUUCAAUGUCCUCCUACUGCUUUUCCAAAGGCCUAUCUAGUACAGCAUUCUGUUCUCACCAUGCUCUCCUGAGAGAAAGUGGUAAGAUAUGUUUUAAAUAAAUAAUAUAUUAAAUACUACUGCUUUGAGGGCUGAUUUGGAGAGCAGAUAAGUUGCUCUCCCUUCCCAGCAUGCAACUCAAAGAAUGAACAGUGUGAUGCCGCACUAAAAAAAACCCCUAAUGCUAUUCUAGGCUGUAUCAAUAGAAGCAUCAUGUCCAGAUCAUGGCCAAUGCAGUGGUACCUCGGGUUACAGACGCUUCAGGUUACAUACUGUCAAGGCUGCCUCAAGUCUUAGCUCACAAAAGACCAACGCCUACGUCUUCUUGAAUACAAAGGUGUUUAUUGCAGUUCAUGGUUUGCUUGACAUCUUAGGCGCGCAGCCUUACGCUAGACCGCCGAAGUCCCGUCUGAGUCAGUCCCUCCUCUGCACCAAUUUAAGAGACUUGCGCUGCUCCACCUCUUUCUCUCCUUCCUUAUCCGCAGGGUCUUUCUGCCCCCUGGGGUUUGCCCCUNNNNNNNNNNNNNNNNNNNNNNNNNNNNNNNNNNNNNNNNNNNNNNNNNNNNNNNNNNNNNNNNNNNNNNNNNNNNNNNNNNNNNNNNNNNNNNNNNNNNGGGUUGCAGACGCUUCAGGUUACAUACGCUUCAGGUUACAGACUCCGCUAACCCAGAAAUAGUACCUCGGGUUAAGAACUUUGCUUCAGGAUGAGAACAGAAAUCACGCGGUGGUGGCGUGGCGGCAGUGGGAGGCCCCAUUAGCUAAAGUGGUACCUCGGGUUAAGAACAGUUUCAGGUUAAGAGCGGACCUCCAGAAUGAAUUAAGUUCUUAACCCAAGGUACCACUGUAAUAGUACCACUCUAUUCCACAUUUGUCAGACCACACCUGGAAUACUGUGUCCAAUUCUGGGCACCAUCAUUUAAGAAGGAUGUUGACAAGCUAGAACGUGUGCAGAGGAAGGUAACCUAGAUGCUCAUGGGUCUAGAAACCAAGACCUAUGAGGAAAGAUAGAACAAUGUGUAUGUUUAGCGUGGAAAAGUGGAGACUGAGAGUAAAUAUGCUAGUCAUCUUCAAAUAUCUCAAGGGCUGUCACAUGGAUGAGGGAACAAGUUUGUUUUCUCCUGCUCUGAAGGAUAGGACUGAAACUAAUGGCUUCAAGUUACAAGAAAAAAGAUUCCAGCUAAACAUCAGGAAGAACGUUCUGACAGUAAGAGCUGUUUGACAGUGGAAGAGUCUCCCUCAGGAGGUUGUGGAGUCUCCUUUCUUGCUUUAGCUGAAAUUCCUGCAUUGCGGGGGGUUGGGCCAGAUGACAGUUGGAGUCCCUUCCAACUCUAUGAUUCUAAGUAGUCUACGAUGCUUUCCAGUCACACUGAGGUCUUGUUUGCACCAUAGCUUUUCUCAGGAGUGGAAGAUCUUCGUUUUGGAGGAAACACAUUCUUAGAUGGAGAGGUGGAGGUUGAAGAACAGCAUCAACAUAUGGACCACAGCUAACUCUCUCCAUCCCAUUCCUUCUCUCUUCUCCAUUUCACAGCUGUUUGCUGGAUGGCUUUGCCACCACAAACUCAGUACAAUACAAUGUAAGCUAGCUGGCAUUCACCCUUUAGGGGAAAAGUAAAACUGCAGCCCAGGAUAUGAGCAAGGGAUAGGAAUUACCCACUAAUACAGGGGUCAGCUAACUUUUUCAGCAG
rnacentral:lncRNA from 1 species